AAACAGGACCUGGAGCAUCCAGGGAGCGUCUGGGCUGCAGAGACAGAGACUCACUCUGUCACCCAGGCUGGAGUGCAGUGGUGCAGUUAUAGCUCACUAUAGCCUCGACCUCCUGGACUCAAGUGAUCCUCCCACCUCAGUCUCCCGAGUAGCUAGGACUACAGGAUCUCACUCUGUCACCAAGGCUGGAGUGCAGCAGCACAAUUUCAGCUCACUGCAACCUCGACUUGCUGGGUUCAAAGGAUCCUCCCAAGUAGCUGGGACUACAGGUGCGCACCAUCAUGCCUGGCUAAUUUUUUGUAGGGAUGGAGUUUUACCAUGCUGCCCAGGCUGGUCUUGAACUUCUGAGUUCAAGCGAUCCUCCCUCCUGAGCCUCCUAAAGUGCUGGGAUUACAGGUUUAAAAAAUAUCCUGGACUUUGGAAAAUAUUCUUAUAUAAAGAAGCAAAAAGAAGAUGGAAUAGAGUUGUGCUAACACUGAAACUCCAGUCAAGCUGUAAACUGAAAAAGAACGUGUUGGAACUAGGAAUUGCCCCAUGGCCUUCACAGGCUGAAGUGCAGUGGCACAAUCUCAGCUCACUGCAACCUCCACCUCCCAGGUUCAAGAAAUUCUCCUACCUCGGCCUCCUGAGUAGCUGGAAUUACAGGCACACGUCACCAUGCUCGGCUAAUUUUUUUGGUAUUUUUAGUAGAGACGGGGUUUCACCAUGUUGGCCAGG
rnacentral:antisense_RNA from 1 species